rnacentral:rRNA from 1 species
GACGAACGCUGGCGGCGUGCUUAACACAUGCAAGUCGAACGGAAAGGCCCUGCUUUUGUGGGGUGCGCGAGUAGCGAACGGGUGAGUAACACGAGAGUAACCUGCCCUGGACUUUGGGAUAACUUCAGGAAACGGGGGCUAAUACGGGAAAGGAGCUCCUGCUGCAUGGUGGGGGUUGGAAAGUUUCGGCGGUUGGGGAUGGACUCGGGGCUUAUCAGCUUGUUGGUGGGGUAGUGGCUUACCAGGGCUGUGACGGGUAGCCGGCCUGAGAGGGUGACCGGCCACAUUAGGUCUGAGCUACGACCCAGACUCCUACGGGAGGCAGCAGUGGGGAAUAUUGCACAAUGGGCUGAAGCCUGAUGCAGCAACGCCGCGUGCGGGAUGACGGCCUUCGGGUUGUAACCCGCUUUCGCCUGUGACGAAGCGUGAGUGACGGUAAUGGGUAAAGAAGCACCGGCUAACUACGUG